AUUGAACGCUGGCGGCAUGCCUUACACAUGCAAGUCGAACGGCAGCACGGGUGCUUGCACCUGGUGGCGAGUGGCGAACGGGUGAGUUAUACAUCGGGACAUGUCCUCUUGUGUGGGGUAGCCCGGCGAAAGAGGGAUUAUUACACCAUACGGUCUACGUGUGCCGCAGGGGGUCCUCGGGGCAGCGCCCUUUUGGGUGGGCUGUUGGCUGAUUAUCUGCUUGGGGGGGUAAAGGCUUACCAAGGCGACGAUCAGUAGCUGGUCUGAGAGGGGGACCAGCCACACGGGAACGGAGACACGGCCCAGACUCCGACGGGGGGCAGCGGUGGGGAAUGUUGGACAAUGGGCGAAAGCCUGAUCCAGCAAUGCCGCGUGUGUGAAGAAGGCCUUCGGGUUGGAAAGCGCUUUUGUCCGGAAAGAAAUCAUGGGCCCUAAUACGUGCGGGGGAUGACGGUACCGGAAGAAUAAGCACCGGCUAACUACGUG
rnacentral:rRNA from 1 species